UGGAGAAGGGGAGCACGUGCAAUGGCGGAUUUGUGUAAUACGUUUGCACGUGCCCUGCUUCUCCAAC
rfam:Spinacia oleracea cultivar SynViroflay scaffold46881.con0002.1, whole genome shotgun sequence.